rnacentral:rRNA from 1 species
GUUUGAUCAUGGCUCAGAACGUACGCUGGCGGCACGCCUAACACAUGCAAGUCGAACGAAGUAGCAAUACUUAGUGGCAGACGGGUGAGUAACAUGUAGGUAUCUGCCCUUUGGCCUGGAAUAACACGAGGAAACUUGUGCUAAUACCGGAUAAGUCUUUACGGAGAAAGCUUUAUGCACCAUUGGAUGAGCCUGCACUUGAUUAGUUUGUUGGUGGGGUAAUGGCCUACCAAGACUGUGAUCAAUAGCUGAUUUGAGAGGAUGAUCAGCCACAUUGGGACUGAGACACGGCCCAAACUCCUACGGGAGGCAGCAGUGGGGAAUCUUGCACAAUGGAGGAAACUCUGAUGCAGCGAUGCCGCGUGAGUGAAGAAGGCCUUUGGGUUGUAAAGCUCUUUCGUCGGGGAAGAAAAUGACUGUACCCGAAUAAGAAGGUCCGGCUAACUUCGUGCCAGCAGCCGCGGUAAUACGAAGGGACCUAGCGUAGUUCGGAAUUACUGGGCUUAAAGAGUUCGUAGGUGGUUGAAAAAGUUGGUGGUGAAAUCCCAGAGCUUAACUCUGGAACUGCCAUCAAAACUUUUCAGCUAGAGUAUGAUAGAGGAAAGCAGAAUUUCUAGUGUAGAGGUGAAAUUCGUAGAUAUUAGAAAGAAUACCAAUUGCGAAGGCAGCUUUCUGGAUCAUUACUGACACUGAGGAACGAAAGCAUGGGUAGCGAAGAGGAUUAGAUACCCUCGUAGUCCAUGCCGUAAACGAUGUGUGUUAGACGUUGGAAAUUUAUUUUCAGUGUCGCAGCGAAAGCGAUAAACACACCGCCUGGGGAGUACGACCGCAAGGUUAAAACUCAAAUGAAUUGACGGGGACCCGCACAAGUAGUGGAGCAUGUGGUUUAAUUCGAAGAUACGCGCAGAACCUUACCAACACUUGACAUGUUCGUCGCGACUCUAAGAGAUUAGAGUUUUCGGUUCGGCCGGACGAAACACAGGUGCUGCAUGGCUGUCGUCAGCUCGUGUCGUGAGAUGUUGGGUUAAGUCCCGCAACGAGCGCAACCCUCACUUUUAGUUGCCAUCAUUAAGUUGGGCACUCUGAAAGAACUGCCAGUGAUAAGCUGGAGGAAGGUGGGGAUGACGUCAAGUCCUCAUGGCCCUUACGUGUUGGGCUACACACGUGCUACAAUGGUAUCUACAACAGGAAGCAAGACUGCGAAGUUAAGCAAAUCCUUAAAAGAUACCUCAGUUCGGAUUGCACUCUGCAACUCGAGUGCAUGAAGCUGGAAUUACUAGUAAUCGUGGAUCAGCGUGCCACGGUGAAUGCGUUCCCGGGUCUUGUACACACCGCCCGUCACACCAUGGGAGUUGGUUCUACCUUAAGGCAAGGUUUAAAACCCUUGACCACGGUAUAGUCAGCGACUGGGGUGAAGUCAUAACAAGGUAACCGUA